AUCUAUGGCCAUGCCACCCUGAACAAGCUCAAUCCCAUCUGAUCUCAGAAGCUAAGCAGGGUCGGGCCUGGUUAGUAAUUGGAUGGGAGACUACCAAGGAAGACCAGGUGCUGUAGGCA
rnacentral:rRNA from 1 species